ACGGUUCUCGUCCGAUCACCGAAGUUAAGCUCUAUCGGGCGGGGUUAGUACUUGGAUGGGUGACUGCCUGGGAAUACCCCAUGUCGUAGGCUUCCUUGUUUUAGAUCGGAAGAGAGG